rnacentral:lncRNA from 1 species
GCGUGCGAAGGUAUGACAAAGCAGGCCAAAGUAGUUAUUAACUCGAGCGUACUUAUUUAAAAAUAACUUCCGAAAUAACUACCUGUCGCGCGCGCGGCUCGUGAUGCGCCGCGCUGGCUGAGCCGGAAGAAGAAACGACUGAAACCCGACAUGCCCUGGACCAGGACGCCGACGAAGAGACACCUCCGGUGUCGAACACGUGGGAACGUUGUCUCAAUGCCGCUUCUAAAGCGCCGAACGUGAGCGUGUUCGAAAGGCACACCCUCGACAACAAGGUAUUCAACAAGCCGGUCUUCUCUGCGAACACGAUCAAAGAAGUCAAGACUGGUGAACCUCAAAAACCUCGCGCUGAUAUCAUAUUGAACGCGUUAACCAAUCCCACCCCGACGUCAAACAUUUGUGGACCAGAGAGUGCGGCGCUAAAAAAGAUCCGAAAGAAAUUACUGACGACAACUAGACUAUUUUCUGCGCGAUGCAUCUUGCGGACAACCCUAAACUGAAAAAUAAUAAAGUGUUCGCUUGUCUCUGACACAAAGGAAUAUCUGUGUACAACACCAUGGCGCUAGGUGGGCAUCUUCACCUCGAAAGAAGCGUUGGGCCCACAUUUAUUGGCAUCGUCGCUUGUCUGACGAGUAUUGAGUGAUCAGUGCUGUGAGAAUGCCCGCGCCAUAUAGGAACAGUUCCAUUCGCGCCCACCCGACUUGUUGGCGGGCCGCGGGGUGUCCUUUCAUGCCCGUUAGGCCGCCGGCAGGGCCGGAGGCGCAUGCGCGCGGAGGCCCUGAAGUUAUUUCGGAAGUUAUUUUUAAAUAAGUACGCUAUGCUCGAGUUAUUAAUAACUACACAUACUUUGGCCUGCUCUGUCAUACCUUCAAGGUAGAUAGCUAGCUAGUUAGCUACCUUCACGU